UAGUUAUGUUCUUUAAACCUAAAGAAUUUGGCGGUAUUUUAUUCUAUUUAGAGGAAUUUGCCCUGUUAUCGAUAAUCCUCGUUUUAUCUUACUUGAUUUAUUGGUAUGUAUAUCGCUGUUAUAAGUUUAUUUUAUUAGAAUAAAAAUUAACUUUAUUUAUUAUUUUAAGUUAUUUCAAGUCAAGGUGCAGCUUAUAAUUAAGUGUGAGGUGAAUUACAAUAUUAUUUGAAUAUACGGAUUUUGAUUUUAAAAUUUAAAUGAAGGUGGAUUUAAUAGUAAUUUUGAUUAUAAUGUCAAUUUGAUUUUAGACUUGAAAUAAGUACACAUCGCCCGUCGCUCUA
rnacentral:rRNA from 1 species